rnacentral:tRNA from 1 species
AAGGCUUUAGCUUAAUUAAAGUAUCUGUAUUGCAUGCAGAAGAUGUGGGGUAAUGUCCCGCAAGUCUUA